rnacentral:pre_miRNA from 1 species
GGCACAAACUCGAAGUAGUGUAGUUUAGUGGGGUCAGAUAAUCCUCCUUAUCCACUCUAUUUCGAAUUUGGGCCC